rnacentral:tRNA from 1 species
GGAGAGAUGGCUCAGUGGUUAAGAGCACUGGCUGCUCUGCUCUUCCAGAAGACCUGGGUUCAAUUCCCAGCACCC